AGAGCGAACGCUGGCGGCAGGCCUAACACAUGCAAGUCGAGCGCCCCGCAAGGGGGAGCGGCAGACGGGAGAGUAACACGUGGGAACGUACCCUUCAGUUCGGAACAACCCAGGGAAACUUGGGCUAAUACCGAAUACGUCCGUAAGGAGAAAGAUUUAUCGCUGAAGGAUCGGCCCGCGUCUGAUUAGCUAGUUGGUGAGGUAAUGGCUCACCAAGGCUACGAUCAGUAGCUGGUCUGAGAGGAUGAUCAGCCUCACUGGGACUGAGACACGGCCCAGACUCCUACGGGAGGCAGCAAGGUGGGGAAUA
rnacentral:rRNA from 1 species